rnacentral:misc_RNA from 1 species
GAUGAAGAACGCAGCGAAAUGCGAUACGUAAUGUGAAUUGCAGAAUUCAGUGAAUCAUCGAAUCUUUGAACGCAUAUUGCGCUCUCUGGUAUUCCGGAGAGCAUGCUUGUUUGAGUAUCAGUAAACACCUCAACUUCCAUAUCUUUUUUUGAAAUGGGAGUUGGACUUGAGUGAUCCCAACGCUUUUCCUCACCGAAAAGUGGCGGGUUACUUGAAAUGCAGGUGCAUCUGGACUUUUCUCUGAGCUAUAAGCAUAUCUAUUUAGUCUGCCUAAAAAACAGAUUAUUACCUUUGCUGCAGCUAACAUAAAGGAGAUUAGUUCUUGUGCUGACUGAUGCAGGAUUCACAAAGACAGCUUCGGCCGACUUUGUAAACUCGAUCUCAAAUCAAGUAAGACUACCCGCUGAACUUAAGCAUAUCAAUAAGCGGAGGA